GAUUGCUAUGAUUUGUUUGAUGGUGGCCACUGAAUCCUGCUGCGUAUAGAGAGCAAAGAAAGUUUUAACAGAUCACUGAAGGACAAUUCUAAGAAUACAAGGCUUUCUUAGUGCUGCAUUGCAGCAACUAAUGUACAUUUGAGCAGCAGCUACAUACAUUUCAGCAUGGCUGUCUAAGUUCCAGGGACUACAUCAGGCACAGAAAGUAUCCUAUUGCCUGGACAACAACUUGCUCCUCAGAAGUCAAUAAUUUGCUGACAUUUCCUUUAAUUGAAAUUGGUGGUGGAAAAGUUAACAUAAAAAAAAAUAUAUUGUGGCCAUAUGUUGUCGAUUUAGAGGCAGCUACGUGAGAUACAAGCUACUUUCUAGAUAGCCGUGCAGAUUUUUAGGAGUAUAGCAUGCAGGCUCUUGUUCAUUACUGGUGAAAAUGCAUAGCUAAGGAUAGUGACUGUGUUGAAAAAAUAUCAUUCUGUAGCUGAGAAUUUUCUCCAUCAAAUGUUACUGUGCUCUUUCUAUCUAUUAUGAUGGAAAUAAAUAGGAGGUGGUACUUAGGAGCAACCUACGUACAUCUGUAAACAGAAAUAAAGGCAUAGGGAACAUUAAGAAUAUCAACUUAAUUUUCUGAGUACUUGUGACUAAGACUUUUUUUUUCAGGGACUCAUGAUGAUUCUGAAGAUGGUUAAGACCAAACUACAUACACACAUGUAUCACUUUUUCUGGCACAGAAGGAGCUGAGGUUCAUUCUGUUCAUCUCUGGAGUGCAUCUUCCAGUUUGACUUCCUCUGUAAGGAAUGCUGUUUAUGUACAUUGAUUUUUUUCUGAUGUGAGCCACAGAGUUGAAGUGGGAAAAAUCAGGAUUUGCUUGCAGAUAUCGAGUCUGUUGGUUUACGGUUGGCUGAAGUAGAUGAAGCAUCUCCAGCAGGUCAAGAGAGGGCUUGUCUGCAAACUGCUACCCCUGAGAGUUCUUUUUCCAUGUUUGAGGGUAACCUCACUGAUAAUAAAAUCAUCUAUGUCUUAUGUUAAGGAAAAAUUUGACCCAGCAGAACACAGAGCAGCCAAUGCUCCAGCCACAUUUUCUAAUUGUGGUUUUGUUGUCCUUGCAUGUGUCUUGCUUAGGAAGUACCAUUUGUCAGCUAAUAAAUAGUUCUG
rnacentral:lncRNA from 1 species